AGUACUGGCAGGCGCAAGGAGGGUGGGGAAGGAGGCGGAGAGGAUUGGCGCAGUCUGGUGGCGUCACCACGCUGGGCCGGGCCGCAAGAACUGUCCUGCCUCCUUUCUUCCUCCGGGGUGGUGAGCUUCCUAGGAAAUUUCUGCAAUGAGUGUGCAUGACCUCUUUUUGGUUUUCUGCUGCCUUCAUGCAGUGAGUAUCCACUAAGCACCUGGCUCUUGCAAACACUUGCUACUUACCAGCUGUUCCUCGUCUACAAAUUCAAAGUCAAUCUGGCAUGAGGUUUCCAUUUGACUGUCAAUCUGUGAGACAGAACAGAUCAAUGAGCACAAGCUUCCUCGAUGAGGAGAAGGAAUGGUCUCAUACUCACCAGCUGCUGCAGGACCUGCAGGUGUCCAUUUCCAAUCAUGUGGCUAC